rnacentral:rRNA from 1 species
GAUGAACGCUGGCGGCGUGCCUAAUACAUGCAAGUCGAGCGAACGGACGAGAAGCUUGCUUCUCUGAUGUUAGCGGCGGACGGGUGAGUAACACGUGGAUAACCUACCUAUAAGACUGGGAUAACUUCGGGAAACCGGAGCUAAUACCGGAUAAUAUUUUGAACCGCAUGGUUCAAAAGUGAAAGACGGUCUUGCUGUCACUUAUAGAUGGAUCCGCGCUGCAUUAGCUAGUUGGUAAGGUAACGGCUUACCAAGGCAACGAUGCAUAGCCGACCUGAGAGGGGGGUCGGCCACACUGGAACUGAGACACGGUCCAGACUCCUACGGGAGGCAGCAGUAGGGAAUCUUCCGCAAUGGGCGAAAGCCUGACGGAGCAACGCCGCGUGAGUGAUGAAGGUCUUCGGAUCGUAAAACUCUGUUAUUAGGGAAGAACAUAUGUGUAAGUAACUGUGCACAUCUUGACGGUACCUAAUCAGAAAGCCACGGCUAACUACGUG